GCCCCCGUAGCCCAAUCGGCAGAGGCAGUCGACUUAAAAUCGAUCAAGUGCGGGUUCGAGUCCCGUCGGGGGCACCA
rnacentral:tRNA from 2 species